rnacentral:rRNA from 1 species
AACGAACGCUGGCGGCGUGCCUAACACAUGCAAGUCGAGCGCGAAAAGAGCAAUCUGAGUAGAGCGGCGCACGGGUGCGUAACACGUGGGUAAUCUGCCUCAAGGUCUGGGAUAACCUUCCGAAAGGUUGGCUAAUACCAGUUAAGCUCACGGUGACUUCGGUCGCUGAGAGAAAAGGGGCCCGAAAGGGUCUCGCCAUGAGGUGAGCCCGCGGCCCAUCAGCUAGUUGGCGGGGUAACGGCCCACCAAGGCUACGACGGGUAGCUGGUCUGAGAGGACGAUCAGCCACACUGGAACUGAGACACGGUCCAGACUCCUACGGGAGGCAGCAGUGGGGAAUUUUGCACAAUGGGCGAAAGCCUGAUGCAGCAACGCCGCGUGUGUGAUGAAGGUCUUCGGAUCGUAAAGCACUUUCGACCGGGACGAACAAGG